rnacentral:rRNA from 1 species
GCAAGCGUUAAUCGGAAUUACUGGGCGUAAAGCGCACGCAGGCGGUUUGUUAAGUCAGAUGUGAAAUCCCCGGGCUCAACCUGGGAACUGCAUCUGAUACUGGCAAGCUUGAGUCUCGUAGAGGGGGGUAGAAUUCCAGGUGUAGCGGUGAAAUGCGUAGAGAUCUGGAGGAAUACCGGUGGCGAAGGCGGCCCCCUGGACGAAGACUGACGCUCAGGUGCGAAAGCGUGGGGAGCAAACAGGAUUAGAUACCCUGGUAGUCCACGCCCUAAACGAUGUCAACUAGCUGUUGGGGCCUUCGGGCCUUGGUAGCGCAGCUAACGCGUGAAGUUGACCGCCUGGGGAGUACGGCCGCAAGGUUAAAACUC